rnacentral:rRNA from 1 species
GAUGAACGCUGGCGGCGUGCCUAAUACAUGCAAGUCGAGCGAACAGACGAGGAGCUGUCUCCUCUGACUUUAUCGGCGGACGGGUGAGUAACACGUGGAUAACCUACCUAUAAGACUGGGAUAAUUUCGGGAAACCGGAGCUAAUACCGUAUAACAUGUUGAAUCGCAUGGUUCAACAGUGAAAUACGGUCUUGCUGUCACUUAUAGAUGGAUCCGCGCCGCAUUAGCUAGUUGGUAAGGUAACGGCUUACCAAGGCAACGAUGCGUAACCGACCUGAGAGGGUGAUCGGCAACACUGGAAGUGAGACAGGGUCCAGACUCCUACGGGAGGCAGCAGUAGGGAAUCUUCCGCAGUGGGCGAAAGGGUGAAGGAGCAACGCCGCGUGAGUGAAGAAGGUAUUCGGAUCGUAAAACUCUGUUAUUAGGGAAGAACAAAUGUGUAAGUAACUAUGCACGUCUUGACGGUACCUAAUCAGAAAGCCACGGCUAACUACGUG